CUGUGUGAAAUGGUUAUCC
rnacentral:rRNA from 1 species